GUACGGGAAAUAUCCUAGUGGUAUUUCUAGUGGCGGACGGGUGAGUAACGCGUAAGAACCUGCCCUUAGGAGGGGGACAACAGCUGGAAACGGUUGCUAAUACCCCAUAGGCUGAGGAGUAAAAGGAGGAAUCCGCCUAAGGAGGGUCUUGCGUCUGAUUAGCUAGUUGGUAAGGUAAUGGUUCACCAAGGCAACGAUCAGUAGCUGGUUUGAGAGGAUGAUCAGCCACACUGGGACUGAGACACGGCCCAGACUCUUACGGGAGGCAGCAGUGGGGAAUUUUCCGCAAUGGGCGAAAGCCUGGACGGACCAAUGCCGCGUGGAGGUAGAAGGCUCACGGGUUUGUAAACUCCUUUUCUCAGAGAAGAUGAGAUGACGGUAUCUGAGGAAUAAGCAUUGGCUAAAUCUGUG
rnacentral:rRNA from 1 species